UUAUUUCAUCAACUCUCUGCUUUUUCAAUUGGUAGCAGUAGUCUAAAUUCCUAAACAACGGUAACUAUGGAACCUGAGCAGAGCAGCGGUGGAGGAUUAUAUGUUCCUGGGAAGCAGAGAGUCGAGGUCANNNNNNNNAGUCCCUUUUAGGUUUGGACAUCCUUGCAAAUGAAAAACGGGAGAAAUCUGAAUCAAAUGGCAUGUUUAAGGUUCCAAGAGAAAGAAUCACCUCUGUUGCAGCAUCCAUCGACGAGGGAGAACUUGAAUCAUCUGGAACAGAUGAAGUCAGG
rnacentral:misc_RNA from 1 species